AACGAACGCUGGCGGCAGGCUUAACACAUGCAAGUCGAACGCAUCCUUCGGGGUGAGUGGCAGACGGGUGAGUAACACGUGGGAACGUACCUUUCGGUUCGGGAUAACCCAGGGAAACUUGGGCUAAUACCGGAUACGUCCUUUGGGAGAAAGAUUCAUUGCCGAAAGAUCGGCCCGCGUCUGAUUAGCUAGUUGGUGAGGUAAUGGCUCACCAAGGCGACGAUCAGUAGCUGGUCUGAGAGGAUGGCCAGCCACACUGGAACUGAACACGGUCCAGACUCCUACGGAGGCAGCAGUGGGAAUCUUGCGCAAUGGACGAAAGUCUGACGCAGCCACGCCGCGUGAGUGAAGAAGGCCUUCGGUUG
rnacentral:rRNA from 1 species